AGUAGAAUCUAUGUAAGUGACUUAGCCUACAUUCUCUUACAGAGAAAUGUAGGAAGAGACUGAAAUCAACCCUCCUCCCGAGUGUCGGACAGACCCCGCGCGGUGAGGAGCCUGAGCCUCGGAGUUGAGUGACAGUCGGGGACUGGGACAGUCAGAGCCGUCACGAAUUCACCGACUGCGGUCUUACCUGGAAGCCUUCUAAGCACGCUUGUUGAAAAGCUAAGGACUGAGAGAACGUCAAAGCGGAAGCCUUUAAUGCAGAAUAAAUAAGUGCGGGAGCACAAUACAAACAGCCCUUGGGCAGGGGUCCCCAGCUCCCGCGCCGGGACGCCACCGGCCCUCCGCGCUGCACGGCCGAGGGGCGGGUCUCCAGAGCGGCCCGGAGCCAGCAUGGCGGGCGCCUGCCUCCCAGGGAGGAAGCUGGCACUUCUCGCGGUCGGAACCUGGCCGUACAGCGGUGCGAAAAAGCUCCGGGGGUCCCCGAGGCCCCCGCACAAGCCGUCCCGCUGCACUGACGCCCGCCCUCCUGGCGUCUGCCCCGCCGCCGCGGACCCGUCCCGCACCGUGCCCCACUCCUCGCCCUCCAGCCCCCUCCUGCCUGUGUGAGGCGCAGCGGCUGGGGUCACAGAGGUGGCCGCGGGAGUUCUCGCCUCCUGCUUGUGAGCUCUGACAGCGAGGCGAAAGGGACUCCAGCACCCGCUUCCGCGGCGGCCAGGAGGGGAUGCCAUGGCAACAGCGCGUCUCCGCGUCCGGCAUCCGGGCCUCUCUGACGCCGUGGUGAGGGAGGCCCGCGCAGGCGCGGACGGCAUCCCGCCCCCCCCCCCCCCCCCGCCCCGCCAGGUGCGCGUCCCAGCGCACACAAAGGACGAGCCCGCGGCCGUUUCCUAGGAGACUGCAGUCCCGCCCGGCGCCCGGAAUUUCCGCGCUAGUCGCCCCUGGCAGAAUGUCGGCGUCUGGGCCGUGAAUUUUCCCUCGCGUAGUAACCCGCCAGGAGUUGCAGACAGCAGAGAGCACGCAGGCCGGCUCUCCAGAGCCCGACGGGCUACCAGCGGGACGCUACCGCGCAGGCGCGGGGCGCUGCACCUGUUCCUCGGCGGCCGCCCGGCGGAGCGCAGGGUCUGCAGCGCCGCCUUGGGGUUUGUGCCGCUUCUCACUCCACUCCUACAACCAGGACCCCACGCCUCUCCUGUCUGCCGCCUGCCCACCCUAGUAGGUGAGCCAGUCCGCACACCCUCUGACCACGGCUCUUCCCGCCUGGCGUUCUUCCUCGCUCGAGCUUUUUCCGGAGCAGGAUCUACUGCCCGCACCCAGCUCUCUCCCACUGCGGACUUGUUGGCGGGACGCGGGCGGAAGUGACUAUCAGCUUCCACAGUAGAGAAGGGAUCAGAAUCUUGGCUUUUCUGCUUCACAGAUGUGUGAUCUUGAGUAGGUUAAAUUUUCUAAGUCACCGUGAAAUAUGGGCACAUUCUAGAAUGUUAAUUUAGCAGCAUGGAACUUGUCCUAUUUUUGUUUCCAUUGCUAUAAGUCACAAAGUCCUUCCUCAUAGACACAGCCAAUUACAAUGGCAAUUCAACUAGCAAUUUUAGGUAUCUCUAUAAAAUUAAUYUGUCCACAGCUGCCAGAUCUUUCUUUAUUCCUUGCUACCUAUUAUAUAAAACCCACAAUCCCGCCCCACAUUUUAUGACCCUCAUACCUUUACAAUUAUGGGCCUUUCCCCACCUUUUCCUAAUUUGUUAAAAUCCUACUAAGUGUGCAUGGCAAGCUUAAAUUCCACCUCCUUCGGGAACCACUUUUGAUGUUGCCAGUGCCCUUGCUCUCUUCCUGACCCAAGCCUUUUCAUGAUUAUGGUACCUGUCACAUUAUCUUGGAUUGCAGUCUUGUUAUUCUUUCUACAUAUCUUUUCCAGCCACACAUUUCAAGUUCUGUGGAGGCAGGAACCAUGACUUUUUCAUCUUUGUAUUAACAUAAGUGCUUCAAAAUAUGAAUUAAAAAGAAGGGAGGUGGGUUUAAAAGCUUAUGAUUUACAUUUUGAUUGCAACUAAACUUGAGAGUGCAGUUCUGAAAUUAGCUAAAAACUAACUGUAAACAAAGUAAAGGGAAAUGAGUUCACAUCCCAAUCUCCUACUCAGUGCCUGUGGUGACAGUGAUUUCAAAUGUGUUCUCUCAUUUCCUCACAACAAUCCUGAAGUAUCAUCUCACAGAUAGGAAACUUGAGGAUAAAAACAAUGACUUUCCUAACAUGUCAAACCCAAAUUGCAAACCUAAUAUUUUAAAUCCUUCUGACAGCAUUAUUUACUGAAGUUAAGCAGAGGAAUUAUUACAAUUUCCUUUUCAGGAAUCAAAGAUGAUGUCCACAAAUAUCCUUCCUGAAGUAUAACAUGCUAAACAAAUGUAAAAUGUUAAUUGUAGGAAAGAUGUUAUAAAUCAAACACAUGGCUAUCUAUUUCUAUCAUUCAAACAUAGUACCUUGAAUAAAACAUCUGGUGGACUAGAGAUCA
ensembl:lncRNA